ACGAAGGGAGCGAGCGUUGUUCGGAAUCACUGGGCUUAAAGCGUGCGUAGGCGGAUCGGUAAGUAAGAAGUGAAAUCCCAGGGCUUAACCCUGGAACUGCUUUUUAGACUGCCUGUCUGGAAUUCGGUAGAGGUUGGUGGAACUCCUAGUGUAGAGGUGAAAUUCGCAGAUAUUAGGAAGAACACCGGUGGCGAAGGCGACCAACUGGACCGAUAUUGACGCUGAGGCACGAAAGCGUGGGUAGCAAACAGGA
rnacentral:rRNA from 1 species